rnacentral:rRNA from 1 species
UACGUAGGCAGCAAGCGUUGUUCGGAGUUACUGGGCGUAAAGGGUGCGUAGGCGGCUUUUUAAGUUUGGUGUGAAAUCUCCCGGCUCAACUGGGAGGGUGCGCCGAAUACUGAGAGGCUAGAGUGCGGGAGAGGAAAGUGGAAUUCCUGGUGUAGCGGUGAAAUGCGUAGAUAUCAGGAGGAACACCUGCGGUGUAGACGGCUUACUGGACGGUAACUGACGCUGAGGCACGAAAGCGUGGGUAGCAAACAGG